AGGAAGGUAUGCCCAGGCGACCAUGGCGCCUUCAUCUGGAGUCCAGGAUGGAGACUGUGGGGAAAUGGAACCCAACCAGAGACUGGAGUCCAGCCUAACUCUCAUAUUAACAACCCCCAACUAGCCUGCAGACCCGCCCGCUCGUUAGCCAGUCCGGAAGCUUGGAAAGACAGCGUGGGAUCCUGAAGAAGCCCUGGCCCUGCCGUCAGACAGACCUUGGUCAUCCUCCAGCUGGGUGACUGUGAGCCAGUUACCAAGCCUCAGUUUCCUCUUCUGUAAUACAGGAAGAAGAACCCGGAACCAGCGCCAUUAGGGUGCUCUAGUCCCCCUCACAGAGCUCCUGUGAAGAUGAGGGGAGCGAGGCAUGGCCAGGGCCGGGGAGAGAAAGUGCUCGAUGCCUGACCCUGCGCCCACCUGAAAACGGCGGGUCCCAGAGCCACAGACAAGCUCUGAUGCAGCCAGGUCUUGGUCUUUGACUUGCCAGCUGAGACCACAGCUAAGAGUCCCACAGAACGUGGCCCCAUCAGCUCGCUGUAUUUCGAAGCCCAGGGAAAGGCAGAUGCUUCUGUGGUGAGUUGACAGAAGGAGGCAAGACGCUGCCCCAGGAUAUGGCAGAGCAGAUGCAACGGCACCGCUGAGCUGCCCUCAGGGGGUCCUCAGCCUUGGAGGAGGCGGGAGACCUGGGCUAUGGAGCCACUCACAGGCCCUACUGAGAACAACGUGGUGUCCAUCACAGUCCUCUUCAGAAUGCCCAGAAUAUAGGGAUAAGGAGGUGAAACCGGCGUGUUUAUUAAUACAGUGGAAUAUUCUGUGGCCAAAUCAAAGGAAGACGUUGAGGAUUCUGGUGACACCUGGAAACGUCCUGCUACGGGAAAAAAGCAGGACCCACAAUGCUAUGUGGAUAUUGACUGCGACUAUAUAAUGCCAGCGGGGACCUCUCAGAGAUGGAAUUUGGAGGAAUGUAAUACAGAUGCAAAUAGAGUUUUCCCCACACUGCCUUCUCCCCCAGUGUUUCCUCAUCUCUGUCAACAGCCUUGCCACCUACUCUGUUGCCCAAACCAGAAACUUGAUUCAAACUAGACUUCUCCCUCUGCCCUCAUGCCCCGUUCCUGUUAGUCACAAGUCCUGCUGGUUCCAGCUCUGAGACAGCUUUCAGAGUACUCCUCCUCCUGUUCCCACAUUCACAUCCCCCAGGGGACUCUCUCCUCCCAGCGUGUCUGUUCCCCCCAUGUGCCCCCCACGCUCUGCUCCCCUGGCACCUCUGCCAUGCUGCUGCCCCAGGGCAGAUGUGGCCAAGGGGCUCCUCUCCUCCCGUUCCUCAUUUGCUCCAGGAUCAAGGACACACUUCUUGGCCCAUUGAAGGCCCUUCCGGAUCCACUUCCUUAGCCCAGGCUCUAGCUUCUCCCUGUUUGCAGCCUCCAAGGAGGCUCUCUUUAUUCCUCUUUGCCUGUGAAGACAGCUCCCUCUGGCAGGAAUACCCUUCACUGCCUGAUCUGCCUGGUCAACUCCUAUCCCCCAUUUCAGAUUUUGCCCAAGACUUUCUAAGACGGUAGAAGAAAGAGGUUUCCACUCCAUUCCCCUCCUGAAAACUGUACAGAAGCCACAGGAGAACAGGAAUAGAAGCCUGAACUCCGUCUUUGGUGGAACACGGAGACCUCUCUACUCUUGAAUCUCAAUACAUGGAGGGGGAAGCUGCUGGAGGAGGAUAAAGGGCUCAGCAGAGAGGAGAAACAUCAAACUUCUGUACUUACGAGUGGGGAAGGCGCUACAGAAAUGAGCUGAUUUUCUCUACAGAGACCCAGAAAGGGUCUGGGAUCAGAGGCACCAGGUAUCACAGGAAGUGGGGCAGGACCUGAGAAUGGGGGUAGGGGGUAGUUUGAAAGUCUGUGUUAGAAGCAGUAGACCUCCAAGUCCCACUCCAUCCUAUGCAGCCAGGUGACUGUCCUCCUUACUCCCACAAGAGACCAGAGGUCCUGGUCUCAGAGAUGCCAAGUGUGAAGAGAAGGGGUGAGGUGUCCUAAUAAAGGCUCCCAGCCUCCUUCCCCACCCACUUCCAGGGUACCAGAAUCAGGCUUAUGCCUGCACCCUGCACUAACCCCAUGCAAAGAUUGAAGUGUGUUUUCCCUGGAGGAAUUAAACAAGCCCAAAGAAACGACUGACAGAUGCUUAUGCUCAGGGGUCUGUAGCAGAUAAGCUGGUGGGAGCAACUGAGUGUCCAAUUAACAUGCCACACUCAGGCACUUCAUACCUCCAACCGGCCCUGCAGUGGGGAACCAUUAAAUACCAACACACACCCAAAGAUCACGGACACUUGAGGGACACUUUCUCUCAGUAUUCUGAGGAAGAUAUGAACCAAGAGGAAAUGGAGAUUAUGAAGGGAGCAGAAUAGAAGGUUGAAGAAACCGUAACUGACAUCUUUAGAGAGAUACAAGAACAUAUUGCACCCAUUAAAAAGUAACAGAGUGAAAUAAAAAAGAAAUAGAGAAAAAGAAAGAACGCUUAAAAGUAAAAAUCCUGAUGGUAAAAAUUUAAAAAAGUAUCAAGAGUUGGAAAAUAAAGUUGAGGAACUUCCUCUGUACAUACAACAAAGAGAGACAAAGACGUGAAGCAGAGAAGAGGCAGGAGAGAAAGCGUAAGCAAUUAGGGAUUGGGCUGGGCAUGGUGACUCAUGCUUAUAAUCCCAGUGCUUCAGGAGGCUGAGGUGGGAGGAUUGCUUGAGGCCAGGAGUUUGAGACCAGCCUGGGUAACAUAGUAGAACCACAUUUCUACAGAAAAUAAACAAAUUAGUUGCAUAUGGUGCACCUGUAGUCCCAGCCACUAGGGGAGGCUGAGAUAGGAGGAUCACUUGAGCCCAGUAGGUUUUCUUUUUUUCUUUUUUUUUUUUUGAGAUGGAGUCUCACUCUGUCACCCAGGCUGGAGUGCAAUGGCGUGAUCUUGGCUCACUGCAACCUCCACCUCCGAGGUUCAAGCAAUUCUCCUGCUUCAGCCUCCCGAGUAGGAAGCUUGACAAAUACAGAUUUUGGUACCGGGAGUGGUUCUAGAGGAACAGAAUAUGAAGGACGGAGUUUGUUCAUUGGUUUUGAGGUUUCUAGAGUUGGCUGCUUAAUAUGAUUAGACCCAAAAAUGCUAAGGACUGUAUUUCUAAUAGUUUGGAGAGUACUGAUAGUACUUGGUGAAAACUGUUUAGAGAGUUAUGCGAAAUAAAUGCAUUUGACACUCCUGAUUCACUGCUCGUGAGAGGCAAGAAGUUUAGUGACUCUAUACAUAAUACUUUUGACCGUAUGUGAAGAACCAAGGAACAUAAUGAAGCUGGUUGUUGUUCAGUGGACAAAGUGAUGAAAAUUAUGAACUCAGGGAUUCUGUCUCCUGGCUUCAGAAGCAGACACUGAGCCUCAAAUCUGCUAAGAUUGCACUGAGUGAGAGUCUUAUCUCCUGUAGAAAAAGAGCUGAAAUUGUAAAAAAAACAGACACAAGCUCUUACCAUGCAAGUGGCUGAGCUGCAAGGGAAGAUGCAUGCACAGCCUCACCAGGUGUUUACCGUUAAAGUGAGGGCAUUGAUUGGAAAAUAGGACCCUGCCACUUUUAAUGGGGACAUGUGGGAGGAACCUGAUUAAGCUGGGGACACUGAGUUGGUAAACUCUGAUGAAUAUUUUUUUUGCCAGAAGGAACAGCUUCACCAUUCCCUGUAGUGGCAACAUCCCCUCCCCGACCUAUGCUGCCAUCAGCCUUUCCACCUUUGUCUGAGGAGAUAAACCCUGCACUGCCCGAGGCAAGAGUGAUGGCCUCCCCUGAGGCAGUUGCCAGGCAAGAUAAUAUUGAUUCUCCUCAGAAGCUACCUCCAACACCUCUGUUUGCUUCUAGACCUAUAACUAGACUAAAGUCCUGGCAGGCCCCUAGAGGUGAGGUUGACCCAUGUGACCCAUGAGGAGGUGCACUACACUCAGAAAGAACUGUUUGUGUUCUCUAGUUUAUAUAAUCCGCAAUCUGGAGAACAGGCAUAGGAGUGGAUAUUAAGGGUAUGGGAUAAUGGUGGAAGGAACAUAGAGUUGGAUCAGGCUGAAUUUAUUGACUUGAGCCCACUAAAUAGGGAACUCUGAAUUUAAUGUUGCAGCUUGGGAAGCUCAAAAAGGUUCUAAUAGUCUAUUUUCUUGGUUAGCUGAACUAUGGAUUAAAAGAUGGCCCACUGUGAGUGAGCUGGAAAUGCCUAUCUCCCUUGGCUUAAUGUAGAGGAAGGGAUCCAAAGGCUUGGGGAGAUGGGGGUGUUGGAGUGGUUUAGUCACUUCAGACCUACUUGUCCCAGCUGGAAGGGUCCAGAAGAUAUAACCUUGACCAAUGCCUUGUGAAAUAGAUUUGUAAGGGCAGCAUCUGCAUCUUUGGAGAGCCCUGUAAUUGCUCUUCUCUGUAUGUCAGAUCUAACAGUGGGAACUGCAGUCACUCAACUACAAAAUUUAAAUACAAUGAGAAUAAUUGGAUCCUGAGGUGGCAGGAGCCAAGUGGCAGCACUCAACUUCCAAAGGCAAGGUGGGCGUAGCUACUGUAAUGGACAGCAGAGGCAAAGCAGCAAUCAGAAUAGUCUGACUCUUUUAGAGCUCUGGCAUAGGCUAAUUAAUCAUGGUGUUCCUAGAAGUGAAAUUGAUAGGAAGCCUACUGCAUUUCUACUUAAAUUAUACAAGCAGAAAACUUCUAGGUCGAAUGGACAAAAGGCUAAUUUGAAUUAUAAAAACAGAGAAUCAUGGCCCCUCGAUCAAUUUCCCAACUUGAUUUACAGACCCAGCCAGUUUACAGACCCAGAACCCCUUGAAUGAAGGGGAGGCCAGGUCCCCUUGAGGAAGGACCCCACUACAUUACCCACAAUUUAUGCAGUGAAUCUUUCUCCCAUCCUUCCCCAAGGAGACCUCUAGCCUUUUACCAGGGUAACUGUGCACUGGGAAAAGGGAAAUUAUCAGACGUUUUGGGGACUACUGGACACUGGCUCUGAGCUGACAUUGAUUUGAGGGGACUGAAAACGUCAUUAUGGUCCUCCAGUUAGAGUAGGGGCUUCUGGAGGUCAGGUAAUUCAUGGAGUUUUAGCUCACAUCUGACUUACAGUGGGUCCAGUGGGUUCCCCAGACUCAUCCUGUGGUCAUUUCCCCAGUGCCAGAAUGCAUGAUUGGCAUAGACAUACUUAGCAGCUGGCAGUACCUCCACAUUGGCUCCCUGACUGGUAGGGCUACUAUGGUAGGGUAAGGGCUACUAUGGUGGUAAAGGCCAAAUAGAAGCCAUUAGAGCUGCCUCUACCUAGAAAAAUAGUAAAUAAAAAACAAUAUCACAUCCCUGGAGAGAUUGUGGAGAUUAGUGCCACCAUCAAGGAUUUGAAAGAUGUGGGGGUGGUGAUUCCCACCACAUCCCCAUUCAACUCUCCCAUUUGGUCUGUGCAGAAGACAGACAGAUCUUGGAGAAUGACAGUGGAUUAUCGUAAACUUAACCAAGUGGUGACUCCAGUUGCAGCUGCUAUACCAGAUGUGGUUUCAUUGCUUGAGCAAAUUAACACAUCUCCUGGUACCUGGGAUGCAGCCAUUGACUUGGCAAAUGCCUUUUUCUCCAUUCCUGUCCAUAAGGCCCACCAGAAGCAAUUUGCCUUCAACUGGCAAGGCCAGCAAUAUACCUUCACUGUCCUACCUCAGGGGUAUAUCAACUCUUUGGCUUUGUGUCAUAAUCUUAUUUGGAGAGAACUUGAUCACUUUUUGCUUCUGCAAGAUAUCACACUGGUCCAUUACAUUAAUGACAUUAUGCUAAUUGGGUCCAGUGAGCAAGAAGUAGCAAACACACUGGACUUAUUGGUGAGACAUUUGCAAGCCAGAGGAUGGGAAAUAAAUCUGACUAAAAUUCAGGGACUUUCUACCUCAGUAAAAUUUCUAGGGUUCCAGUGGUGUAGGGCCUGUCGAGGUAUUCCUUCUAAGGUAAAGGAUAAGUUGCUGCAUUUGGCCCCUCCUACAACCAAGAAAGAGGCACAAUGCCUAGUAGGCCUAUUUCGAUUUUGGUGGCAACACAUUCCUCAUUUGGGUGUGUUACUCUGGCCAUUUAUCAAGCAACCCGAAAGGCUACCAGUUUUGAGUGGAGUCCAGAACAGGAGAAGGCUCUGCAACAGGUCCAGGCUGUGGUGCAAGCUGCUCUGACACUUGGGCCAUAUGACCCAGCAGAUCCAAUGGUGCUUGAGGUGUCAGUGGCAGAUUGGGAUGUUGUUUGGAGCUCACAUAGGUGAACCACAGUGGAUGCCUCUAGAAUUUUAGAGCAAGGCCCUGCCAUCUUCUACAGAUAACUACUCUCCUUUUGAGAGAUAGCUCUUGACCUGUUACUGGGCUUUGAUGGAAACUGAACGUUUGACUAUGGGUCAUCAAGUCAUCAUGUGAUCUGAACUGCCCAUCAUGAACUGGGUGCUUUCUGACCCAACUAGCCAUAAAGUGGGUCGUGCACAGCAGCAUUCCGUCAUCAAAUGAAAGUGGUAUAUACGUGAUCUGGCUCAAGCAGGUCCUGAAGACACAAGUAAGUUACAUGAGGAAGUUGCUUAAAUGCCCAUGGUCUCCACUCCUGUCACCCUGCCUUCUCUCUCCAAGCCUGAACCGAUGGCCUCAUGGGGAGUUCCCUAUGGUGAGUUGACAGAGGAAGAGAAGACUAGGGCCUGGUUCCAGACGGUUCUGCACGAUAUGCAGGCACCACCCGAAAGUGGACAGCUGCAACACUACGGCCCCUUUCUAGGACAUCCCUGAAGGACAGCAGUGAAGGGAGACCUUCCCAGUGGGCAGAACUUUGAGCAGCACACCUGGUUCCACACUUUGCAUGGAAGGAGAAAUAGCCAGAUAUGCGAUUAUACACUGAUUCAUGGGCUGUAGCCAAUGGUUUGGCUGGAUGGUCAGGGACUUGGAAGAAGCAUGAUUGGAAAAUUGAUGACAAAGAAAUUUCAGGAAGAGGUAUGCAGAUGGACCUCUCCGAGUGGACAAAAACUGUGAAGAUAUUUGUAUCCCAUGUGCAUGCUCACCAACGAGUGACCUCAGUGGAAGAGGAUUUUAAUAAUCAAGUGGAUGGGAUGACCCAUUCUGUGGACACCACUCAGCCUCUUUUCCCAGUCACCCCUGUCAUAGCCCAAUGGGCCCAUGAACAAAGUGGCCAUGGUGGCAGGGAUGGAGGUUACGCAUGAGCUCAGCAACAUGGACAUCUACUCGCCAGGGCUGACCUGCCUGGCUACGGCCACUGCUGAGUGCCCAAUUUGCCAGCAGCAGAGACCAACACUGAGCCCUCGAUACAGCACCAUUCUUUGGGGUGAUCAGCCAGAUACCUGGUGACAGGUUGAUUAUAUUGGACCUCUUCCAUCAUGGAAAGGGCAGGGGUUUGUCCUCACUGGAAUAGACACUUACUCUGGAUAUGGGUUUGCCUAUCCUGCACGCAGUGCUUCUGCCAAGACUACCAUCCACAGACUCACGGAAUGCCUUAUCCACCAUCGUGGUAUUCCACACAGCAUUGCCACAGACCAAGGCACUCGCUUUACGGCUAAAGAAGUACAGCAGUGGGCUCAUGCUCAUGGAAUUCACUGGUUUUACCAUGUUCCCUAUCAUCUUGAAGCAGCUGGAUUGAUAGAAUUAUGGAGUAGACUUUUGAAGUCACAAUUACAGCACCAACUAGGUGACAGUACUUUGCAGGGCUGGGGCAAAGUUCUCCAGAAGGCCGUGUAUGCUCUGAAUCAGCAUCCAGUAUAUGGUACUGUUUCUCCCAUAGCCAGCAUUAAUGGGUCUAGGAAUUAAGGGGUGGAAGUGGAAAUGGCACCACUUACCAUCACCCCUAGUGAUCCCACUAGCAAAAUUUUUGCUUCCUGUUCUCAUGACAUUACGUUCUGCUGGCCUAGAGGUCUUAGUUCUGGAGUGAGGAAUGCUGUCACCAGGAGACACAACAAUGAUUUCAUUAAACUGGAAGUUAAGAUUGCCACCUGGACACUUUGGGCUCCUCCUACCUUUAAGUCAACAGGCUAAGAAGGAAGUUACAGUGUUGGCUGGGGUGAUUGACCCGGACAAUCAAGAUGAAAUCAGUCUACUACUCCACAACGGAGGUAAGGAAGAGUAUGCAUGGCAUACGGGAGAUCCAUUAGGGCCUCUCUUAGUAUUACCAUGCCCUGUGAUUAAGGUCAAUGGGAAACUACAACAGCCCAAUCCAGACAGGACUACAAAUGACCCAGGCCCUUCAGGAAUGAAGGUUUGGGUCACUCCACCAGGAAAAAAACACAACCUGCUGAGGUGCUUGCUGAAGGCAAAGGAAAUACACAGUGGGUAGUAGAAGAAGGUAGUCAUCAAUACCAUUUACGACCACAUGACCAGCUGCAGAAACGAGGACUGUAACUGUCAUGAGUAUUUCCUCCUUCUUUUGUUAAAAACAUGUUUGUGCAUGUAUACACUUGUACCAAGAAAAUAUCUUCAUUUUAUUUCCUUUUCCUUCAUCGUGUGACAUAAGAUUUAUUGACUUAUUCAUAUCAGCAUUUAAAUAUUGUUAACUUUAUGUAAUAGUAUUUGGGUUGGGGAUUGGCACGUUUCUGGUUGUAUGAAGGAUAGCUGUAUUAUGUCAGGCGUAAUUAUGGCCUCGUUAUUGUCUUUAUUUGAAGAUUAUGUAUGAUCUCAGGAGAUGUGUAUGGGUUCAAGUUGAUAAGGGGUGAACUUGUGACAGUUAAUACUGUGUCAACUUGAUUGGAUUGAAGGAAGUGAUAUUGAUCCUGGGUGUGCCUGUGAGCAUGUUGCCAAAGGAGAUUAACAUUUGCGUCAGUGGGCUGUUGAAGGCAGACCCACACUUAAACAGGUGGGCACCAUCUAAUCAGCCUCCAUAGAAUAUAAAGCAGGCAGAAAAUGUGAAGACAACAGUGGCCUAGCCUGCCAGCCUGCAUCUUUCUCCCAUGCUGGAUGCUUCCUGCCCUUUAACAUUGGACUCCAAGUUCUUCAGUUUUGGGACGUGGACUGCCUCUACUUGCUCCUCAGCUUGCAGAUGGCCUAUCGUGUGACCUUGUGAUCACCAGCCAAAUUAUGAGGAAGCUCAAGCAACCUGUGGAGCAGCCUCAUGGAGAGGACCAAAGACAUUUGGUCCACAGCUCUGGCUGACCUCCCAGCUAGUAGCAAGUGCCAACUUGCUAGGUGUGUGAGUAUACCAUCUUGAAAAUCGAUCCCCAACCUCCAAUUGAACCACCUGACAUUGCAUAGAGCAGAGAUAAGCCAUUGCUGCUGAGCCCACCCCAAACUGCAGAUUUAUGGGCAAAAUAAAUGAGUGGGAUGGUUUGUUAUAUAACAGUAGAAAACAGAUGCCCCCACUCAUUCUCUUUACCUUCCUCCACCAGAGAUGUGCAAAAGUCUUGGGGCCUUAACCUAGGCCCAGACACCAACAGGGAACUGGCCCCCAUGUUCUUGCCUACAAGUUCUUCGAAGUCUCCUGCUCAGCUGUUCGUCUUCCACCUUUGGGGUGGGGGAAUCUUCUGAGAGCCUGGCAAUCCUAUCCCCAUACCUCUCUGAGGUCUUGCCACACCACCGUCUUCCCCACCUCCAAGUUGGCCAUGGAUAUCUUCUCUCAAGGCUUUCUAGGGUGGUUCUUCUCACCCCUUUUCCCACCUCCAGAACUCCUGGCUCCACCUCUAGAAUGGACUAGAGGUAGAGUCUCACUAGAAGUGUCUGCACUCCCUGCCUGGCAAAAUGCCCAAGGUGAGUCAUGACAAAGCUUGCCUUCUGCUGGAAGAGAGGGGAUAGGGACAAUGCUGAGGGAGCUAACCCAGUGUGAGAUUUCAGUGAAUGACUCUGCUAUGGUUUGAAUGUAUUGGAAACUGAAUCCCCAAAUUCAUAUGUUGAUGGUAUUUGGGGGUAGGGCCUUUGGAAGGAUUAGAUAAGGUCAUCAGGAUGGGGCUCUCAUGAUGAGGACUGGUGGCUUUAUAAUAGGAUGAAGAGAGACCUGCGGUGGCAUGCCCUUGCCCUCUCGCCAUGUGAUGAAGCAGUAAGAAGGUUUUCACCAGAUGUAGCCUCUCAACCUUGGACUUCCCAGGCUGCAGAACUAUACAAAAUAAAAUUCUUUUAUCAAUUA